rnacentral:rRNA from 1 species
GUGAGGAAUAUUGGUCAAUGGGCGCAAGCCUGAACCAGCCAUGCCGCGUGCAGGAAGACGGUCCUAUGGAUUGUAAACUGCUUUUAUUUGGGAAUAAACUCCGGUACGUGUAUCGGCCUGAAGGUACCAAAUGAAUAAGCACCGGCUAACUCCGUGCCAGCAGCCGCGGUAAUACGGAGGGUGCAAGCGUUAUCCGGAAUCAUUGGGUUUAAAGGGUCCGCAGGCGGUCUUAUAAGUCAGUGGUGAAAGCCUACAGCUCAACUGUAGAACUGCCAUUUAUACUGUAGGACUUGAAUUCGAUCGAAGUGGGCGGAAUGUGACAUGUAGCGGUGAAAUGCUUAGAUAUGUCACAGAACACCGAUAGUGAAGGCAGCUCACUAGGUCUGGAUUGACGCUCAGGGACGAAAGCGUGGGGAGCAAACAGGAUUAGAAACCCUGGUAGUCC